rnacentral:lncRNA from 1 species
UGACCUUUAGUUACUGAGAUUAGUAGCCUCGGUCCUAACCUAGAAGGAAGGUUUUCCUUGAUCGUAAAUUUAUUCCAAGCCUAUUUGCUUUUCCUGGUGCAAUUAGCUUGUGACACAGAAUUCUAUUUGCAGCUUUUUAUUCUACAGGGGGGAGGGGGGCUUAAAAUUACUCAAAUCAAUUCAGUAGUUCUAUAAAGUCAUCAUCAUAAACUAUGAAAUCAUCGAUUCAUCUGAACAGCAUUAUUACAUGAAAGUACAUCUUCAGAUUGAUCUGCCGGAAAUUUGCCAAAGAGGGUGGGCUGAUAUUCAGGAUUCAGCGGGUUGUGUGACGGUGGUAGGAAAGGCAUAUCAACAUCGAGAAGCCAUCCUGGGAUGAAGCCUCUGGGAUCCAUGUCUCUCAGCUCUCACCCACUGCAGCCAUACAAAACAGUGGACCAUCUCCAGAAAAACUCCCUUGCUCGCCAUAGCCUUUCCUGCAUAGCUCUUGUCAAAUUAAAAUGCUGUCCAAAUGGAAUGUUAGUCAAAGGCUAGGAAGGGAUUCAGUCAAGGGGCAUUCGUGCAAUAGGGCAUUUAUGAGAAGCAGCUGGUUUGCUGACCCAGAUGAAGAGACUGGGAGCAAACAUAUUGACUGUCACAUCAGCUUCAGCAAAUCCAGGGCUUGCAGCUAUUUGGAAUAGUAUAUGCAGCUGAUUCCUGGAUGGCGUCUGUUAGCCAAUUCAAACUGCUGGGACAGAUAUAACUAGGGACAGAAGUUAAAGCUUAGGAAUUUAAAGGAAGUAUUACAUUUGGAACUCUGAGGCCCAUGGUACUGGUAGUUGGGAGAAGGGAAGAGUUCCAAAACCAGGAGAGAGAGAAAGAUCCUACCCUCCGGAGGCAUGGCUCCCACCCUUGAGGUCUGAGAAAAUCACAAAAUGUCCCUGGCAGUUGCAAAAUAGACACAGCAGCUGCAGCUGGCUGAUAACAACAGAGUGGGCUAAGAAAACCUAUGUUGUUCCCAGGUGAAGGUGGCCCUUUUGAAUGUAUGCUCCCUCCUUGUGGUUUUACCAGGUGCUGUAAACCAAUUAGCUUAAAGACCAACAUUCCUUUACCCUCUAAUGUAAUGCCAAGGCUUGGAAACCCCUGCUUGUGGUUUUUGUUGUUGUUAUUGUUGUUGUUUUUCCUUUAUAAACCCACUUCCCCUAGACCUCGGGUGCUCUCCUAUCCUGUUGCAUCAGGAAGAUUUGUGGCCUGCCCUCAAGCUUGAAUAAAGACUCUCAUGUGCUUGCUUGCA